GGUUAAGCGACUAAGCGUACACGGUGGAUGCCUAGGCAAUCAGAGGCGAUGAAGGACGUGCUAAUCUGCGAUAAGCGUCGGUAAGGUGAUAUGAACCGUUACAACCGACGAUUUCCGAAUGGGGAAACCCAGUGCAAUUCGUUGCACUAUCGUUUGAUAAAUACAUAGUCAAACGAAGCGAACCGAGGGAACUGAAACAUCUCAGUACCUCGAGGAAAAGAAAUCAACCGAGAUUCCCCUAGUAGCGGCGAGCGAACGGGGAGCAGCCCAGAGUCUUAAUCAGCAUUAGCAUCAGGAGAACGGUCUGGAAAGGCCGGCAGUAAAGGGUGAUAGCCCCGUAUCCGAAGGUGUUAGUGUUGUGAACUCGACGAGUAGGGCGGGACACGUGUUAUCCUGUCUGAAUAUGGGGGGACCAUCCUCCAAGGCUAAAUACUCCUGAUUGACCGAUAGUGAACCAGUACCGUGAGGGAAAGGCGAAAAGAACCCCGGCGAGGGGAGUGAAAUAGAACCUGAAACCGUGUACGUACAAGCAGUGGGAGCACCUUUUUGGUGUGACUGCGUACCUUUUGUAUAAUGGGUCAGCGACUUAUAUUCUGUAGCAAGGUUAACCGUAUAGGGGAGCCGUAGGGAAACCGAGUCUUAACUGGGCGAAUGAGUUGCAGGGUAUAGACCCGAAACCCGGUGAUCUAGCCAUGGGCAGGUUGAAGGUUGGGUAACACUAACUGGAGGACCGAACCGACUAAUGUUGAAAAAUUAGCGGAUGACUUGUGGCUGGGGGUGAAAGGCCAAUCAAACCGGGAGAUAGCUGGUUCUCCCCGAAAGCUAUUUAGGUAGCGCCUCGUGAACUCAUCUUCGGGGGUAGAGCACUGUUUCGACUAGGGGGUCAUCCCGACUUACCAACUCGAUGCAAACUACGAAUACCGAAGAAUGUUAUCACGGGAGACACACGGCGGGUGCUAACGUUCGUCGUGAAGAGGGAAACAACCCAGACCGCCAGCUAAGGUCCCAAAGUCAUAGUUAAGUGGGAAACGAAGUGGGAAGGCUCAGACAGCCAGGAUGUUGGCUUAGAAGCAGCCAUCAUUUAAAGAAAGCGUAAUAGCUCACUGGUCGAGUCGGCCUGCGCGGAAGAUGUAACGGGGCUAAACUAUGCACCGAAGCUGCGGCAGCGAUAUGUAAAUAUUGUUGGGUAGGGGAGCGUUCUGUAAGCCUGUGAAGGUGUACUGUGAGGUAUGCUGGAGGUAUCAGAAGUGCGAAUGCUGACAUAAGUAACGAUAAUGCGGGUGAAAAACCCGCACGCCGGAAGACCAAGGGUUCCUGUCCAACGUUAAUCGGGGCAGGGUGAGUCGACCCCUAAGGCGAGGCAGAAAUGCGUAGUCGAUGGGAAACGGGUUAAUAUUCCCGUACUGGUGAUAAUUGCGAUGGGGGGACGGAGAAGGUUAGGCUGGCCGGGCGACGGUUGUCCCGGUUUAAGGAUGUAGGCAGGUGAAUUAGGCAAAUCCGGUUCACUAUAUGCUGAGGUCUGAUGACGAGUCACUACGGUGGCGAAGUAGCUCAUACCCCGCUUCCAGGAAAAGCCUCUAAGCUCUAGAUUAUCAUUAAUCGUACCCCAAACCGACACAGGUGGUCAGGUAGAGAAUACUCAGGCGCUUGAGAGAACUCGGGUGAAGGAACUAGGCAAAAUGGUGCCGUAACUUCGGGAGAAGGCACGCUGGCAUUAGGUGAAGUGGUUUACCCAUGGAGCUGAAGCCAGUCGCAGAUACCAGCUGGCUGCAACUGUUUAUUAAAAACACAGCACUGUGCAAACACGAAAGUGGACGUAUACGGUGUGACGCCUGCCCGGUGCUGGAAGGUUAAUUGAUGGGGUUAUCCGUAAGGAGAAGCUCUUGAUCGAAGCCCCAGUAAACGGCGGCCGUAACUAUAACGGUCCUAAGGUAGCGAAAUUCCUUGUCGGGUAAGUUCCGACCUGCACGAAUGGCGUAAUGAUGGCCAGGCUGUCUCCACCCGAGACUCAGUGAAAUUGAACUCGCUGUGAAGAUGCAGUGUACCCGCGGCAAGACGGAAAGACCCCGUGAACCUUUACUAUAGCUUGACACUGAACAUUGAGCCUUGAUGUGUAGGAUAGGUGGGAGGCUUUGAAGCGUGGACGCCAGUCUGCGUGGAGCCAACCUUGAAAUACCACCCUUUAAUGUUUGAUGUUCUAACGUAGCCCCGUAAUCCGGGGUGCGGACAGUGUCUGGUGGGUAGUUUGACUGGGGCGGUCUCCUCCCAAAGAGUAACGGAGGAGCACGAAGGUUGGCUAAGCAUGGUCGGACAUCAUGCGGUUAGUGCAAAGGCAUAAGCCAGCUUGACUGCGAGAGUGACGGCUCGAGCAGGUACGAAAGUAGGUCUUAGUGAUCCGGUGGUUCUGUAUGGAAGGGCCAUCGCUCAACGGAUAAAAGGUACUCCGGGGAUAACAGGCUGAUACCGCCCAAGAGUUCAUAUCGACGGCGGUGUUUGGCACCUCGAUGUCGGCUCAUCACAUCCUGGGGCUGAAGUAGGUCCCAAGGGUACGGCUGUUCGCCGUUUAAAGUGGUACGCGAGCUGGGUUUAGAACGUCGUGAGACAGUUCGGUCCCUAUCUGCCGUGGGCGUUGGAAGAUUGAAAGGGGCUGCUCCUAGUACGAGAGGACCGGAGUGGACGCACCACUGGUGUUCGGGUUGUCAUGCCAAUGGCAUUGCCCGGUAGCUAAGUGCGGAAGAGAUAACCGCUGAAAGCAUCUAAGCGGGAAACUUGCCUUGAGAUGAGUCUUCCCUGACUCUUUAAGGGUCCUAAAGGAACGUUUAAGACUAAGACGUUGAUAGGUUGGGUGUGUAAGCGUAGCGAUACGUUGAGCUAACCAAUACUAAUGAACCGUGAGGCUUAACCUG
rnacentral:rRNA from 1 species